UACAACAUAGCAUUAAUGCAUUGGAUCCCAUUAGAGCUCCUUAGUUAAGCGCACUCAUGCUAGAGUAGUACUGGGAUGGGUGAUCGCUCAAGAAGUCCUAGUGUUUUAC
rnacentral:rRNA from 1 species